UUGAACGCUGGCGGCAGGCCUAACACAUGCAAGUCGAACGGUAACAGGAAACAGCUUGCUGUUUCGCUGACGAGUGGCGGACGGGUGAGUAAUGUCUGGGAAACUGCCUGAUGGAGGGGGAUAACUACUGGAAACGGUAGCUAAUACCGCAUAACGUCGCAAGACCAAAGAGGGGGACCUUCGGGCCUCUUGCCAUCGGAUGUGCCCAGAUGGGAUUAGCUAGUAGGUGGGGUAACGGCUCACCUAGGCGACGAUCCCUAGCUGGUCUGAGAGGAUGACCAGCCACACUGGAACUGAGACACGGUCCAGACUCCUACGGGAGGCAGCAGUGGGGAAUAUUGCACAAUGGGCGCAAGCCUGAUGCAGCCAUGCCGCGUGUAUGAAGAAGGCCUUCGGGUUGUAAAGUACUUUCAGCGGGGAGGAAGGGAGUAAAGUUAAUACCUUUGCUCAUUGACGUUACCCGCAGAAGAAGCACCGGCUAACUCCGUGCCAGCAGCCGCGGUAAUACGGAGGGUGCAAGCGUUAAUCGGAAUUACUGGGCGUAAAGCGCACGCAGGCGGUUUGUUAAGUCAGAUGUGAAAUCCCCGGGCUCAACCUGGGAACUGCAUCUGAUACUGGCAAGCUUGAGUCUCGUAGAGGGGGGUAGAAUUCCAGGUGUAGCGGUGAAAUGCGUAGAGAUCUGGAGGAAUACCGGUGGCGAAGGCGGCCCCCUGGACGAAGACUGACGCUCAGGUGCGAAAGCGUGGGGAGCAAACAGGAUUAGAUACCCUGGUAGUCCACGCCGUAAACGAUGUCGACUUGGAGGUUGUGCCCUUGAGGCGUGGCUUCCGGAGCUAACGCGUUAAGUCGACCGCCUGGGGAGUACGGCCGCAAGGUUAAAACUCAAAUGAAUUGACGGGGGCCCGCACAAGCGGUGGAGCAUGUGGUUUAAUUCGAUGCAACGCGAAGAACCUUACCUGGUCUUGACAUCCACGGAAGUUUUCAGAGAUGAGAAUGUGCCUUCGGGAACCGUGAGACAGGUGCUGCAUGGCUGUCGUCAGCUCGUGUUGUGAAAUGUUGGGUUAAGUCCCGCAACGAGCGCAACCCUUAUCCUUUGUUGCCAGCGGUCCGGCCGGGAACUCAAAGGAGACUGCCAGUGAUAAACUGGAGGAAGGUGGGGAUGUCGUCAAGUCAUCAUGGCCCUUACGACCAGGGCUACACACGUGCUACAAUGGCGCAUACAAAGAGAAGCGACCUCGCGAGAGCAAGCGGACCUCAUAAAGUGCGUCGUAGUCCGGAUUGGAGUCUGCAACUCGACUCCAUGAAGUCGGAAUCGCUAGUAAUCGUGGAUCAGAAUGCCACGGUGAAUACGUUCCCGGGCCUUGUACACACCGCCCGUCACACCAUGGGAGUGGGUUGCAAAAGAAGUAGGUAGCUUAACCUUCGGGAGGGCGCUUACCACUUUGUGAUUCAUGACUGGGGUG
rnacentral:rRNA from 1 species